AUGGAGAUCCACAGCGCGCCGCACCGCCUAAUGAUGGUGCUCGGCAGCUGCUCAAUUCUGCACCUGCUGUUGCGGUGCCAUCUGCUGACCCUGUUCCUUCAAAGGUAUAUGCUCAAUUCUGCAUCUGCUGACGAAGUUACUGGAAAAUCUAGUGCAGAUGGAACUGCAAAUUCAUCCUCUGGCACAAGUAGCAACUUAAGUCUUGAUGCUUUAGCGAAAGCUAAAAAGGCUUUGCAACUGAAGAAGGAAUUAUCAGCAAAACUCAAGAGAUUACCUGUGAGUGAGGCUGCUGCCAAGAAGGUGUUCGUAGAUGCUAAAGUUGCACACUACUGGGACCUGGCUGUCAACUUCUCGGAAGAUUCGUCUUGA
rnacentral:rRNA from 1 species